CCUACGGGCGGCAGCAGUGAGGAAUAUUGGUCAAUGGGCGCGAGCCUGAACCAGCCAAGUCGCGUGAGGGAAGACGGUCCUAUGGAUUGUAAACCUCUUUUGUCGGGGAGCAAAAGACGCCACGCGUGGCGUUCCGAGCGUACCCGACGAAACAGCAUCGGCUAACUCCGUGCCCGCAGCCGCGGUAAUACGGGGGAUGCGAGCGUUAUCCGGAUUUAUUGGGUUUAAAGGGUGCGCAGGCGGAAGAUCAAGUCAGCGGUAAAAUUGAGAGGCUCAACCUCUUCGAGCCGUUGAAACUGGUGGUAUUGAGUGAGCGAGAAGUAGGCGGAAUGGGUGGUGUAGCGGUGAAAUGCAUAGAUAUCACGCAGAACUCCGAUUGCGAAGGCAGAAUACCGGCGCUCAACUGACGCUCAUGCACGAAAGUGUGGGUAUCGAACAGGAUUAGAUACCCGUGUAGUC
rnacentral:rRNA from 1 species